GUAAACGUUUGCUCAGUGGUUAGAGCUCCCGCUUGUUAAUUUUGGGAUCCACGGUUCAAGCCCGCGUCUACU
rnacentral:tRNA from 1 species